rnacentral:lncRNA from 1 species
CCAGAAUUCCUAGAUUUUCACAGGUGUAUUUCUCUGGCUACAGAGUAAGUGAGCUUCCCCAGGGGGUUCUGAUGAGGGACCUGUCUUGGUUACUGACCCUGAAAAGCGGUGUUCAGCCAGACCCUUUGGCCUUUGAGGUCUGUUUACUAUGGUUGGAACAAGUGGUCAGGAAGGAACAGUGUAUCAGGUUGUGCUUGCUUUUCUGGAUUUGCUUAAGUGGUUUUUAAAAAUAGAUGUUACGCAAAUAUAACAGAUUAUGCCUAACUUGGGAUAGUGGGAGCCUACUGCACCCCUGGAGAUUGGUGCAUUUCAACCAGUGUCCCAUCUUGUGUGCAGAUGAAGGAAUAGAGAUCUCUUGUCUAAUCUGAAUAUUCGGCAGCACCUGCAGUUUUCCAGGUAGGCCUUGCUGCAGGUCUUCAGGUUGUUCUGUCUGCUUGUUUUUCCCUGUUCAGUUCUUGAUACUAGUCAGACCUGGUCUGUAUCCGAAUCCCCAUGACGCAGAGCCAGUCAGCCUGGAACUGCGCUGUUUGUGUGCUCAGGUCCUGAACCAAGUGUACAGGUACAUGCCCCUUGCAUAUAACCUGCCUCAUUAUUCAGUUCUCCCACAGGUCUGGGCCACUCUUAAGACUGUGACCCUUUGAUUUGGGGCCAAGAUUUCCUUCCUAGCUCUUGCCAUUCUCUCUCCCAGGAGCUAGAUCCUGACCGAAUAGCUGUUAUCUGGGCUUCAACCAGUCCUGUGUGUCAUGAGCUUAUGAAUAUUGUUCAUUCAUUUAUUAUUUGUUGGUUUUGUUUUUUUAAUAGCAGCUUCCUUUUUUUUAUUCUUCUUUUUAGGGCUACACCUGCAGCAUAUGCAGUUCUUGAGCUAGGGGUCAAAUCAGAGCUGCAGCUGCCAGCCUAUGCCACAGCCACAGCUGCACCGGAUCCUUAACCCACUGUGCAAGGCCAGGGAUCAAAUCUGCAUCCUCACAGACACUGUGUCGGGUUCUUAACCUGCUGAGCCACAAUGGGAGCUUCCCAUUAUUUAGGGGAACAAAAUGGUGUAACCCUUGUUCUCAGAGAGUUUAGAUUCUAGUGGGGAAGAAAGAUAUUAAGCCAAUAACCAGACAAGUAAAUAUCCAGUUACAAACUGUGAUAAAUCCUAUGAUGGAUGAGAACUAAAUUCUCAGAAGAAGUAGCAGGCAGGAUCUAAUUUGGAUUGGGUGGGGGUGAGGAAAGUUCUCCCAGAGUUAGCCAAGUGAGGACGAUGAGAAAGGUGAGCAAAUGCAGGUGAAAGGUCUCAGAGGUGGCACUGAGCUUGGCCUCUUUAAUGACUUCCACAGUGGCCAGUGAGAUGAGAGCACUGAUGGCCAACCCUGACUGUGUGAGCAUCCAGUGGCUGCCAUAACUAAUCCUUGCAAACAUACGGCCUGCAACAACAGGACUUACUUUCUCAUAGAUCUGGAGGCCACAAGUACAAAAGAAUAUCCCCGGGCUAAAAUCCAGGGCAGUGCUCCUUCCAGAGGCUUGAGGAGAGCCUUGCUGUUCCAGCCGUUCUUUACUGUUACAGCUUUCGGUGGCUGCCCACAUUCCUUGGCUUGUGGCCACGGCACUCCAGAUCUUCAGAUCUCUCUCUGCUCUACCUUCAUGUCACCUUUUCUGCUGUGUUUCUCAAAUCUCCCUCUGCCUCUCUUGUAUAAGGACAACUGUGACUGUAUUUGGAGCCCACCCAAAUAAUGUAGGGGAAUCUUCCUAACUCCAGAUCCUUAAUCAUAUUAGCAAAAUCCUUUUUUUUUUUUUUUCAUAUCAGGAAACAUCUAUAGGUUUCAGGGAUUAGGACCUGAUAUCUUUGGGGGCCAUUAUUCAGCCCAUUACUCUGGAUUGCUUUAGUAAUCCCUGGAGGAACUUUUAUUUUUAUUUUUAAAAUUUUUUUACUUAUUUUUUCGCUUUGUAGGGCCAUACCCCUGGCAUAUAGAAGCUCCCAGGCUAAGGGUCGACUCAAAGCUACAGCUGCAACGCGGGAUCCGAGGUGCAACCUACACCACAGCUGAUGGCAACACCAGAUCCUUAACCCCCUGAGCAAGGCCAGGGAUCAAACCCGUAUCCUCAUGGAUGUUAAUCGGGUUCGUUAACUGCUGGGAGCUCCCCUGGAGGAGCUUUUAAAUCUGCAUCGCCCACGCUCCACCUUACAUCACUUAAAUCAGAAUCUCUCUGUGAGGCUGGGGCAUGGAUAUUUUUAAAAGCCUCCCCAGGCGAUUCUGAAACAACUGCUAGACUCUGUGGCAGAUAACGUCUGGCCUAGAGCAUGAUGAAGGAAGAGCAGGUGUAGUAACAGGCAGGAUGUCAUCACAAUUUGGACACUUCUCCUGCUUUUAACCUGAUGGGACCUGUUGGCCAUCAAUGCCGACUGAAGGAAGCCCUCGCUGAAUGGACCUCUUGGGAAGGUUUUGUGGUUUAACUUCACUGGGAGCAUCUUGGCCCUGCCUCCUUCCAUUCCUGCUUCUUCUUCGCCAUCCAUCUGACGCUGAGGUCUUGGAUCACGUGAUGCCUCACUCUGCCCAAGUUCUAAAGACGGCAUAGAGCUUACAAGUGAAGGGGGCUCAAACGUCGCUCAUACUUUGCAGGCCUCACACAGAUAGAGCUCACACAAAUACAGCUGGGCACUCUGGAGCUGUAACCCAAGUCUAAAGAUACCUUUGUAAAUUUGUAGGAAAAAAACAAAACCAAACAACUAAGGUUUGAACUACAAACAACCUUAGAGGCAGGCCCAGAACUGAGGAAGCAUGUCAGAGCCUCCAGAACUCACGACUUGUUUUAGCCGUAGAGAGGGGAUGUUUUUCCUUUCUCACUGGACCCACUUAUCUGUGAAGAUGCUGGUGUUUUUCAGUGAAUGUAUUUGGGGAAAAUGGUAAUUGGGUCUAUCAAGAUCCCUGUGUUGAUGUGCAGCUUUGACCCUAAGGACAAACGUAGACUCGGAACCACAUAGGCUUGUCACCUGGGAGCUACGAGAAUGGCCAGGGAAUGUGCUAAGAAUUUGAUGGUCUGAGAACAAGAACCAAUUUAGGGAGUUCCUCAGUAGCUAUUUGCUAGUAGAUCAGUGUUUUCAAAACCCAGUUAGAAAGUCCCAAGCCCCACUCACCCCUGGACCACUAAUAUCAGGGAAGCCAUCUUUGCUUUUACAAAUCACUGAAUUGUCUCCGGGGAGGCAAAGAGGCAAUGAUCUCCUCUUGGGGGCUGCUGUCUUUUUUACGGUCAUCAGAUCUUGUCAUGGGCUCCAGCCACAGGGGAAUGUUGGUAACACCUGGAAAAGGGAGGGUUGUCUCUUUAAGUACUGGGAAUGUUUAACUGGAAAUCCUUUGUGGAUGGGUCCAAGAUCUGUACAGCCUCUGUCCUUCUGAUGUGGAACGCCUCCCUAGCACAGGGCCCCAAUUGGUCUCCUGCUCUUUGUCGCCAACAACCAUCUCAGCUUGGGCCAGACGUCAUGAAAAGAUCCAGUAACAGCAUGAUGCUUCAUGUGGGGGGUCCUUCCGUGGUCUUCCUCUUUGUAGCUACCCUCUUGUCUCCAGCAUGACUUGCACCCCAUUUUCUCCUAUCACAAUGCAAAUAUGAACUGUGUCUGUUUAUUAGUGGGUUUCCUUCGGAGUACUCUUUCAGUUUAGGCAGGCGGCGGGGCGGGGGGGGGUCUUUUCUGAAUUUUUAGUGUUGCAUAUGCUCAAUGCUCAAAGAAAGGUUUGACUUUCUGGUGGGCUCCCUUUCUGAACCUCUUUUUAAAGCUUCCUGUUGGACAUACCCUUUCUUUUCCAAAAUGGCAGUUUCGUGUCCUGUGAGACAGGAAAUGCCUUUUCUCUUGAUUGCCCCUUUUCAGUGGAAAUCUAUCACAAAGGCAAUCACAAAGAAUUCUUUCCUGCUAAGAAGUUGGGUGCUCCAGUCAUACCUGUCUUAUCUAGAAAGUGGUUCAAUUAUUUUCAUCUCUGACAAAAUGAUGAACUUCAGAGGAUUUGCCCAAGGAGAGAGGGUGGAAGGGUUGGCAUGGCUAGCUUCACUACCCUCAUGUGGAGUCAGAAACCUGAAAACAGCCUCGCUCUCAAGCAUGCAUUCCCCUCUUUGUCCGGGGAGUAACGAUGGCUGAGGCGUUGGCAUGCAGAUACUUGCAGAGUGAAAAUGGAUACACUUCCCCAGCUCCUCAUCCCUGGCCUGGAGGACAGCCUGCCAGCCGUGCAUGCAUGUUGGUUUGGCACUGAGACAAAUGUUCCCUGGAGCAUAGACUGAAACCACCAAACUGAUAUCACAGGGGACACCGGCCAAAUCCUGACCUCGCUCUCUGCAGGUGAGAGGCUGUGGAAUUAACCUGUGAUGCUCUCCGGCUCCCGCCUGGUGGGUGGUCUGGAUUUGUUUUCUUUUUCUUUUUUUUUCUUUUUAAUGCCACAUUUGAAUCUCCUUGCUCUCCCCACCCGACUGGUAUCUACCAGCCACAGAGCCACUCUGCCGGUCUUGGCUUGGGAACAGUGGGCAGUGACUUGGCUCCAAGAAAUGGGCAAACCACACGAUUUCUUCUUGCCCCUUGAGAGGGAAGGGCCACUCAUGGGCUGUUCCAGCCUCGAGCCCGGGUGGCAGGGCCCUCGGGCUGGCAUCGCUGGCAUCUGUGGUCGCGGUCUGCUCCUUUUGCGUCCCUCUCUUCCGCAUUUUUCCUCCCACCGUUCCAACUUCUCCCAUCUCCCCCCCGCCUUUUUUGUUUCCAACCCUUAUUUAUUCAGAGCUUCCAAUAUUCUAAGUUUUUCAUGAAUCCAGGGCUUUAAUUUAGCAUGUGGGGUGCUGGCGCUUCCAGCGAGCUGCUUGGGUCAUUAUUUCCAACGUGAAGGAAUAAAGAGGCAGCAGGGUGCAGUGGACAGCAUGGGGGCUGGACGCCAGAAGGCCCCGUGCUAGUCCCUGUCUUGCAUCUAAGCAGCUCUGGAACCCUGGCCGGCCUCGCCCUGGCUGCCAGGCUCAGUUUCCUCCCCAGAGGGAUGGGGAAUCGGGGCGAGAUGAUUUCUAAGGCUCGUCUCAUUCUGUGAUUCUGUGGAGCUCACUGGCCACGUGAAAUCCACAUUGGGUUGUGCCAGUGUCACUUUCCUUUGUGUUUUGAAAAACUAUAUUGUUACGAGGAUGAAUGAGGAGAUGUGAGCAGAGUCCCUAAGCUCGAUGUCUCCAACGCAGAAGACCGAGGGGAAAACCUUCCUGGAAAUCACUUUCCAGGGGCCAU